rnacentral:rRNA from 1 species
UCACUUUCAACAACGGAUCUCUUGGUUCUCGCAUCGAUGAAGAACGUAGCGAAGUGCGAUAUGUAAUGUGAAUUGCAGAAUUCCGUGAAUCAUCGAAUCUUUGAACGCAAAUUGCACGCUCUUCGGGGAGUAUGCCUGUUUGAGGGUCA